rnacentral:rRNA from 1 species
AGGUUUUCGGACCUAGAGACCGGCGCACGGGUGCGUAACGCGUAUGCAAUCUACCUUUCACAGAGGGAUAGCCCAGAGAAAUUUGGAUUAAUACCUCAUAGUAUAAUACAAUCGCAUGAUUGAAUUAUUAAAGUCACAACGGUGAAAGAUGAGCAUGCGUCCCAUUAGCUAGUUGGUAAGGUAACGGCUUACCAAGGCGACGAUGGGUAGGGGUCCUGAGAGGGAGAUCCCCCACACUGGUACUGAGACACGGACCAGACUCCUACGGGAGGCAGCAGUGAGGAAUAUUGGACAAUGGGCGCAAGCCUGAUCCAGCCAUGCCGCGUGCAGGAUGACGGUCCUAUGGAUUGUAAACUGCUUUUAUACGAGAAGAAACACCUCUACGAGUAGAGACUUGACGGUAUCGUAAGAAUAAGGAUCGGCUAACUCCGUGCCAGCAGCCGCGGUAAUACGGAGGAUCCAAGCGUUAUCCGGAAUCAUUGGGUUUAAAGGGUCCGUAGGCGGUCAGAUAAGUCAGUGGUGAAAGCCCAUCGCUCAACGGUGGAACGGCCAUUGAUACUGUCUGACUUGAAUUAUUAGGAAGUAACUAGAAUAUGUAGUGUAGCGGUGAAAUGCUUAGAGAUUACAUGGAAUACCAAUUGCGAAGGCAGGUUACUACUAAUGGAUUGACGCUGAUGGACG